rnacentral:rRNA from 1 species
AGCAGCCGCGGUAAUUCCAGCUCCAAUAGCGUAUAUUAAAGUUGUUGCAGUUAAAAAGCUCGUAGUUGAAUUUCGGGGUUAGUAGGCUGGUCGUGCCACUGGUAUGUACUGGUCUCACUGAUUCCUCCUUCCUGAUGAGCUGUAAUGCCAUUAAUUUGGUGUUGCAGGGAAUCUGGACUGUUACUUUGAAAAAAUUAGAGUGUUUAAAGCAGGCUAACGCUUGAAUACAUUAGCAUGGAAUAAUGAAAUAGGACGUUCGAUCCUAUUUUGUUGGUUUCUAGGGUUGACGUAAUGAUUAAUAGGGGAUAGUUGGGGGCAUUAGUAUUCAAUUGUCAGAGGUGAAAUUCUUGGAUUUAUUGAAGACUAACUACUGCGAAAGCAUUUGUUAAGGUAUGUUUUCAUUAAUCAAGAACGAAAGUUAGGGGAUCGAAGACGAUCAGAUACCGUCGUAGUCUUAACCAUAAACUAUGCCGACUAGGGAUCGGAUGAUGUUAAUUUUUAAUGACUCAUUC